AGGGCACCACCAGGAGUGGAGCCUGCGGCUUAAUUUGACUCAACACGGGAAAACUCACCCGGCCCGGACACUGGGAGGAUUGACAGAUUGAGAGCUCUUUCUUGAUUCAGUGGGUGGUGGUGCAUGGCCGUUCUUAGUUGGUGGAGCGAUUUGUCUGGUUAAUUCCGAUAACGAACGAGACUCUAGCCUACUAAAUAGAUCGUCGGCUUACAAACGCCGAUGAGACUUCUUAGAGGGACAGGCGGCGAUUCAGCCGCACGAAACAGAGCAAUAACAGGUCUGUGAUGCCCUUAGAUGUCCGGGGCCGCACGCGCGCUACACUGAAGUGAUCAGCGUGCAUUUUCAGCCUACUCUGCCAAGAGUGGGAAACCCAAUGAACCUUCUUCGUGAUUGGGAUAGGGGAUUGUAAUUAUUCCCCUUGAACGAGGAAUUCCCAGUAAGCGCGAGUCAUAAGCUCGCGUUGAUUACGUCCCUGCCCUUUGUACACACCGCCCGUCGCUACUACCGAUUGAAUGUUUU
rnacentral:rRNA from 1 species